CUGGCUCAGGAUGAACGCUAGCGGCAGGCCUAAUACAUGCAAGUCGGACGGGAUCUAGAUCUAAGCUUGCUUAGAUUUAGUGAGAGUGGCGCACGGGUGCGUAACGCGUGAGCAACCUACCCAUAUCAGGGGGAUAGCCCGGAGAAAUCCGGAUUAACACCGCAUGACACAACGACUCGGCAUCAUCUAGUAUUUAAAUAUUUAUAGGAUAUGGAUGGGCUCGCGUGACAUUAGCUAGUUGGUAAGGUAACGGCUUACCAAGGCUACGAUGUCUAGGGGCUCUGAGAGGAGAAUCCCCCACACUGGUACUGAGACACGGACCAGACUCCUACGGGAGGCAGCAGUAAGGAAUAUUGGUCAAUGGAGGGAACUCUGAACCAGCCAUGCCGCGUGCAGGAAGACUGCCCUAUGGGUUGUAAACUGCUUUUGUCCAGGAAUAAACCUACUUACGUGUAAGUAGCUGAAUGUACUGGAAGAAUAAGGAUCGGCUAACUCCGUGCCAGCAGCCGCGGUAAUACGGAGGAUCCGAGCGUUAUCCGGAUUUAUUGGGUUUAAAGGGUGCGUAGGCGGCUUUAUAAGUCAGGGGUGAAAGACGGCAGCUCAACUGUCGCAGUGCCUUUGAUACUGUAGAGCUUGAAUGUGGUUGAAGAUGGCGGAAUGAGACAAGUAGCGGUGAAAUGCAUAGAUAUGUCUCAGAACUCCGAUUGCGAAGGCAGCUGUCUAAGUCAUUAUUGACGCUGAUGCACGAAAGCGUGGGGAUCGAACAGGAUUAGAUACCCUGGUAGUCCACGCCCUAAACGAUGAUACUCGAUGUUGGCGAUACACAGUCAGCGUCUUAGCGAAAGCGUUAAGUUAUCCACCUGGGGGAGUACGCCCCGCAAGGUGAAACUCAAAGGAUUGACGGGGGCCCGCACAAGCGGAGAGCAUGGUGGUUUAAUUCGAUGAUACGCGAGGAACCUUACCCGGGCUUGAAAGUUACUGAAUUAUCUAGAGAUAGAUAAGUCCUUCGGGACAGGAAACUAGGUGCUGCAUGGCUGUCGUCAGCUCGUGCCGUGAGGUGUUGGGUUAAGUCCCGCAACGAGCGCAACCCCUAUGUUUAGUUGCCAGCAUGUAAUGGUGGGGACUCUAAACAGACUGCCAGCGUAAGCUGUGAGGAAGGUGGGGACGACGUCAAGUCAUCAUGGCCCUUACGUCCGGGGCUACACACGUGCUACAAUGGAUGGUACAGCGGGCAGCUACCUGGUAACAGGAUGCUAAUCUCGAAAAGCCAUUCACAGUUCGGAUUGAGGUCUGCAACUCGACCUCAUGAAGUUGGAUUCGCUAGUAAUCGCGUAUCAGCAAUGACGCCUAGGCCC
rnacentral:rRNA from 1 species